UACCGUAAAACGGGGUGAUUAGGGAUCCAGGGGUGAAUAGGGAUAAAAUCAAAAUUGAACCUGAGACGAGAAAUUAAUUUGCUUACCAUAGAUUACUACAUACUUUUUGGAAGAAAAUCGUAGUAGAAUAUAUACUCUCUAGGUUGGCAGCAUUUGUUUAACAUGAAGUCAAGCAAUUCGGCGUAAGAUUCACUACUGAAGUUGUUGCUCUGUUACCGGUGUUUUUUUGUGGUUCUAAACUUUCGAGAUAAAUAUAUUUUUUUAGAACUAUUUGAGCUAGUUUAGUUUUAUUACGGUAUAUUAGUUAUUUCUAGAGACGUUACAUAAAGGAUAACAUCUAUUUUUGGACAACGCCGCGUGAUUACCAAACUAGUCGAAACACAAAUUAUAAAAAAUAUGACGAUUCUGUAAUAGAAAUAGCACUACACGAGUACAAUAGCUCUAACCUUUCCUUUAAAGAUGUUUCACGGAAAUACGAUAUACCGAAAUCAGUCCUGCAUCGACACAACACCCGUGUCAUGAAAAAACAAGGAGGCCAAACUGCCCUAAGCCGGGCUGAAGAAGCGUACUUAGUAGAGUACGUAAAUGUAUGUUCAGAAUGGGGAUAUCCUCUAGAACCCAUUGAUUUUAGAUUGCUGAUAAAAGGAUACCUGGAUAAAAUGGGAGUUGAUAUCAAAA